rnacentral:rRNA from 1 species
GACGAACGCUGGCGGCGUGCUUAACACGUGCAAGUCGAACGGAAAGGCCUGCUUUCCCUUGUGGAUUGCGGGUACUCGAGUGGCGAACGGGUGAGUAACACGUGAGUGAUCUGCCCCCAACUUGGGUAUAAGCCUGGGAAACUGGGUCUAAUUCCCGAUAGGACUGCAGGGUGGUGCCUGUGGUGGAAAACGAUUUUCUAGUGGUUGGGGAUGAGCUCGCGGCCUAUCAGCUUGUUGGUGGGUAAUGGCCUACCAAGGCGGCGACGGGUAGCCGGCCUGAGAGGGUGGACGGCCACAUUGGGACUGAGAUACGGCCCAGACUCCUACGGGAGGCAGCAGUGGGGAAUAUUGCACAAUGGGCGGAAGCCUGAUGCAGCGACGCCGCGUGGGGGAUGACGGCCUUCGGGUUGUAAACUCCUUUCGACCGCGAGGAAGCCACCUGGUUGGAAGGGUGGUGACGGUAGUGGUAGAAGAAGCACCGGCUAACUACGUG